UUUACCGUAAACAUGGCUCUUUAGUGUAUCAACAACUUACAUUAUCAUAUAAAUAAUGUUUAACAUAAAUAUUAUUUCUUACACAAAUCAAAUGUUUUGCUUCAUAAAGCAGUAUUAACCCAAUGGAGUAAUAGAUAAGAUAAGUGUAUGAUAGAUAUAUGUGGUUUUUAGAGCUUUAGCCAUUUAGGUUUUAUGUAGGGCUCCAGACAUCAAUUUGAGAGAGGUGGGACCAGGUAUCAGUUGGGGCAAGAAAUUAAGUGUGAUGUGUGUGUCUGCAUUCAACCCAUCCCAGAGAAUAGUGAACACACACACACUUGAAACAGUGGGCAGCUAUUCCUAAAGCGCCCGGGUAGCAAUUGGGGUUAAGGUGCCUUGCCCAAUGGCACCACAGUCGCAACCUGCCGGACGUGAGAUUUGAUUACAAAAAAUUAUUACAAAUUAAUACAGAAAAUUUCUAGUUGUUUACAAAUAAACACCUGUUUCAGCACCUUUACCAUACUCUUAGUCUCCCAAACUUUGGGUGAGGUUUCCUUAUUUUAUUGUUACACUUUAACAUUAAAUUCUGUUGUCAUAUUGAUAAACCCAUUGUACCACUUGCAUUGAAACAUUUCAUAUGAUCAGGGGUGCACAUAACUGGUGCGCAUGCGCGGUUAAAAUAAAAAAUAUAAAAAAAAUAAUAAAGGCGCUUUUGCGUACCAACGCUGCUGGAAUUUUUAUGUAGUGCAUAAUUGGUAAGAUAAUUAUUACAAACGUAUUAAAAUUAAUGUGUUGUUAGAUGCAACAGUUACUGGCCCGAUUGGCCAAUUUAAAUAUUAAAUAAAUAUAAUCAGUUGAGAAAUAAAAUGCGUGUACUGUAUAGACGGUUUCAUCGGACGCACAUGAUACACGUUUGGAUCCGAAAUUUACUUCCGGUUUCGUUUUUUAAUGGUCUGACUAGUUGCUAAACUGAUCUCUUGAACAAAUGCCUCGUCGAAAAUAACUAAUUUUUUGGUUUCCUAGGUAAUCUAUGUGUUGUUUUUUGCUUGUUAUAUAAAUAAACUACGUUUAAAGUACUUUGUUGUUAUUUAUUAUUAGCGGAGUUUACCGGAAUUACGUGCGGACUGCGACAGCCGCUUGUUUAUGUUGUUACUGCGGAAACUGUCUAUAUUGGAUCAAUGCAUUUAAAGGGACAUACACCAAUUUUUUUGUAUAAACCGGGUGUGCCUCAUAAGCCUUGAAAAGUGAAGCCUCUGGCUCUUUGAUCGCCCCCUGGUGGCUGGCUGCAGUACAAGUCAUAACCCCGCCCUCUCCAUUCAAACGAAUGGGACUCUGCUCUAAUAAAAAAAUUAUUUACACUUCCAAUAAAAGUUUCCAAAAGAUGGUUUUGGUCCUUUCAGGUAGUUGUUAUCAUGCUGAUAUAUGUUCAAGUGUUCAUUAUUGUGGUAAGUUUCAUUUUAGCUAGUAAUUUGAUGCUAUAGAAAUGGGGCGUGUCGUUAUGAAUGACGUGGUUGAAUUGGUCGCGCGAGCGUUUAGACGGAAGUUUGAUACCGUGGCUCCGCCUUCCUUCUGCGCAUGCCUUGGCUCCAAACUGACGUUUUUACGUAACAUGGCGGCGACCGUGGUCGGACAUUUUUGGCUUCAAUUCAUUACAAUGGUGGGAGGCGACGUCACGUCAUCCAUCUUUUUUUUUACAAUCUAUGGUAUAAACCUGAUGCUGUUUUUAAUGUUAAUCAAACAACAGGCAAAGAAAAUCAUAAUUUCCUUGUCUUGACUAAAUAACAUUUGUAGCUUUUAUAAGGAUUAAUCCAGUUUACACAGUAAAGACUAUGCAGUAUUAUCUGAUUACUUUAUUUAGUUUCUGUACUGUACCUGAAAACUACAGACCAACAUCUCCAGGUGCUCCUUUGAGAACCAGGCCAAAAAAGUUAUGUGCACCCCUGCAUAUGAUACCAAACAAGACAAGUAUCAGAUAUUUUGUGCAUGUAGAAUGUAGCAUUCCAUAUACAGUUUGGUCUGAGAGAAUGAGGAGAGGGGAAAGGUAGUGUGUGAUUCUUCUGUCUCCGCACAGCUGUCUUGGGGGUAGAUGUAAAUUUCAUUAGAUCCUCUGUGUUUUAACAAAGGGUGAAUGUCUUUGAGGUAGAUAUGGCCUUAAGAAAAUUAACCAUGGUUUCCUUUCUGUCGUUCACUCGACGUUGUGUCGAUGAGUACCAGUGUCAGCUCGGGUCCUCCAGGGUAACAACUAGCCCGCCGACUUACUAGGCGUCUCGUUUGCAUAGCACCCUCUCCCCUUCUUAGGUGAGACCAUGGUCUAUUCCAUACGGGCUCCCCCAGUGGGUGAGGUAUGGUCUUUGUAGUGCCCCUUUUUUUUCUAUGAGUUUAUUUUUGGCACAUUCUCAGUUUACCUCAGUACCCUGCGGCUAAGUCAAUGCUAUCUGCUUUAAAAUGCCCCGCUGGUGUUACUAGUGAGUCGUCUGUUU